rnacentral:tRNA from 1 species
GACGAGUGGCUCAGUCGGUAAAAGCAUUCGUUUUGAGUGUAGACUGAAUGCUACGGCCCGGGUUCGAUCCCGGCUGUGUCA